UACAGGAGGUCUCAAGCGUUUGUUCGGAUUCAUUGGGCGUAAAGGGUGUGUAGGUGGCGCCGUAAGUCGGGUGUGAAAUUUCGGAGCUUAACUCCGAAACUGCAUUCGAUACUGCGGUGCUUGAGGACUGGAGAGGAGACUGGAAUUUACGGUGUAGCAGUGAAAUGCGUAGAUAUCGUAAGGAAGACCAGUGGCGAAGGCGGGUCUCUGGACAGUUCCUGACAGCUGAGACACGGAAGGCCAGGGGAGCAAACGGG
rnacentral:rRNA from 1 species